rnacentral:rRNA from 1 species
AUUAGACGCUGGCGGCAUGCCUUACACAUGCAAGUCGAACGGCAGCACGGGGGCAACCCUGGUGGCGAGUGGCGAACGGGUGAGUAAAGCAUCGGAACGUGCCCUGGAGUGGGGGGAUAACGUAGCGAAAGUUACGCUAAUACCGCAUAUUCUGUGAGCAGGAAAGCAGGGGAUCGCAAGACCUUGCGCUCUGGGAGCGGCCGAUGUCGGAUUAGCUAGUUGGUGGGGUAAAGGCCUACCAAGGCGACGAUCCGUAGCGGGUCUGAGAGGAUGAUCCGCCACACUGGGACUGAGACACGGCCCAGACUCCUACGGGAGGCAGCAGUGGGGAAUUUUGGACAAUGGGCGAAAGCCUGAUCCAGCCAUGCCGCGUGAGUGAAGAAGGCCU